CGCCAGAGGGCUGCCCCUCGGCCGGUGACCGAGUUAAGCACCGAGCUGUAAAUCGCUUGAGACCUGUAUUUGGUUGUUUUGUUGGUUUUGCCAAGUAAGGUCACUUGAGGAUUUCUUGGCUCGAGGUCCCAGGUUGCGCAGACUCUGACUGCAUCGAGUUGAGAAUUUUGGUCAGAAUGUUAAAGUGGAAACCUACCCCAGGCUGUCAUGACUUUUGCAUUCUGGUAACCAACUGAUCCUACCCGGACCCAUGAUGCAUAACUCAGCUGGUCCUGUGGCGCACACCCAGAGGCCGACUCAAUGCAUGAAGACUGUUUUCCACACCCCUAUGAUUUCAUCCCCAACCAAGCAGCAGCAUCCAUUCCCUAGCCCCCUGCCCACCAAAUUAUCCAUAAAAACUCUGGCUUCUGAGUUCUCAGCAAAACUGAUUUUAGUAAUAACUCCAGUUCUUCCACUUGGCUGGCCUUAGUUAAUUAAACUUAUUCUUUACUAUAGUACCGUGUUCCCAGUGAAUUGGUUUUGUCUGUGUAGCAGGCAGGACAACCCAUCAGGCAAUCACACAGUUACUCUGCAGUGCUUCUUUUUAUUUUGCUUUUCAAACAAAUUUCAAAUAU
rnacentral:lncRNA from 1 species